rnacentral:rRNA from 8 species
ACGGGUGAGUAACGCGUGGGGAUGUGCCUUGAGGUGGGGAAUAACUGUGGGAAACUACAGCUAAUACCGCAUAAGCCCUUCGGGGGAAAGAUUUAUCGCCUUUAGAGCAACCCGCGUCAGAUUAGCUAGUUGGUAGGGUAAUGGCCUACCAAGGCGACGAUCUGUAGCUGGUCUGAGAGGAUGACCAGCCACACUGGGACUGAGACACGGCCCAGACUCCUACGGGAGGCAGCAGUGGGGAAUAUUGGACAAUGGGCGCAAGCCUGAUCCAGCCAUGCCGCGUGAGUGAUGACGGCCUUAGGGUUGUAAAGCUCUUUUAACAGGGACGAUAAUGACGGUACCUGUAGAAUAAGCCCCGGCAAACUUCGUGCCAGCAGCCGCGGUAAUACGAAGGGGGCUAGCGUUGUUCGGAAUUACUGGGCGUAAAGCGCACGUAGGCGGAUUUUUAAGUCAGGGGUGAAAUCCCGAGGCUCAACCUCGGAACUGCCUUUGAUACUGGAGAUCUUGAGUUCGGAAGAGGUUGGUGGAACAGCUAGUGUAGAGGUGAAAUUCGUAGA